rnacentral:lncRNA from 1 species
GUUUCCCCCAGUGAUAAUAUCUUGGGUAACAUCCUGUAUACAUUCACAUUGGUGCAUUCCUCAGAGUUGUCAGAUUUUGCUAGUUUUACGUGCACUUGUGUAUGUGUGUAUUUGCAAUUUUAGCACGUGUAGACUCUUGUAACCACUACAAUCAAGUUACAGAACUACACUACCAAGGUUCAUCUUUUUAAAAUCUUUGAUGUUACCUUUUUCGGAACAGUGACCAUGAGAGGACUUUCCUCCCAAAAUUUUGAGAACUACUGAACCAGAAUAUAGUCUGACACUAAUAGGUAGAAAUUUAACCAAAGGAGAUUAUGAAGCUCUGCACUUCAGUUAACAAAUCACUUCUCAGCUUCCAGUUCCAUCUCAGAAGGAAGGAAAGGGAUUAAAAUCCAGAGACCAGAAAUGGGAGCAAAGUACAAGGUGGUGUAAUCAUUACAGAGGUUUCCUGAUGUUUCCAAGUCAGUCGUGUGUUGAGCUGCUAAACUCUAAAGUAAUUUUAGGUGGAAGUGUUGGAAACAUGCUGCUGAGGUGAUAGAAAGGAAUCCAUGGUCCUCUGUUAGUUGGAAAGUAUAUGGAAUACUAUAUUCUACAUAAGAUACAACACUCUCUGUGAGACAAGGAUAAAGUAGAUUUUGUCAGUGAAAUUGUGACAAGAAUCGCUGAUGGGUUUAGAGCCUAAGUUUGCGAGGAGCACUGGAAGAAAUUAAGAUUGUUGAGAUUGGAAAGGGUUAGCUAUGGGGGGAACAGGAGGAGGUGACUCCAUGACAGACCAAAUAUUCAAAGGACUGUGUAGAAGAGGAAAAAGACUUUGUUAGGGCUCCAGAGGACAGAGCCAGGAGUCAGACAGGGCCUUGAACUCAACCCACCGAGAUCUGCAAACUUUGCAGGAUGCACCAGAUGUCUUGUAGCCAUGGGUCAAGGGGGGACCCUGGGUAAGAGACUGUAAUAGAUGACCUCUAAGGCCAUCUCAUGACAUGUGUGAUUAAUGUAUGUACCUGUCCUCUCUUUUUG